CACUCCUGCGGGAGGCAGCAGUGAGGAAUAUUGGACAAUGGGUGGAAGCCUGAUCCAGCCAUCCCGCGUGCAGGAAGACGGCCCUAUGGGUUGUAAACUGCUUUUAUCCGGGGAUAAACCUACUUACGUGUAAGUAGCUGAAGGUACCAGAAGAAUAAGCACCGGCUAACUCCGUGCCAGCAGCCGCGGUAAUACGGAGGGUGCAAGCGUUAUCCGGAUUUAUUGGGUUUAAAGGGUCCGUAGGCGGACUGAUAAGUCAGUGGUGAAAUCCGACAGCUUAACUGUCGAACUGCCAUUGAUACUGUUAGUCUUGAGUAAGGUUGAAGUGGCUGGAAUAAGUAGUGUAGCGGUGAAAUGCAUAGAUAUUACUUAGAACACCAAUUGCGAAGGCAGGUCACUAAGUCUUAACUGACGCUGAUGGACGAAAGCGUGGGGAGCGAACAGGAUUAGAAACCCGUGUAGUCCCA
rnacentral:rRNA from 1 species